ACAAACCUCAGGCUUCCAAUGUUCCAUUGGCAGGAAGCCAACUGGAAAACCUGUGCAGGCCCUAGGAGAGCGUAUUCUUCAUUGUCUGCUUCAUAUGUGGCCAAGGACAAUAAUGGAAAAAGUGUCUCUAUCAAGAGCAGUCACAAUGGAAUAUUAUAUGAGAUCAAUGUGCAUCAUCUAGAGAUCCCAGACUUUGACCUCGAUGCGGUGACAUGAUAGAAUUUAGAUGAUAUUCCUUGGGAACAGGGUAUAUGACAUAGGAUUGCACUUCUCAACCUUCUUUGAAGUUAAGUGAGGUAAUGUCAUAUGUUGACCAAUGAAAUAUGAACAAAAGUGACUAAGUCUUUCCUGGGAAGAAACUUUAAAAUGCAGUGCACAAUUCACCUUACUAAGUGAAUGCGUUGAAUGAGAUAGAUCCCCCAUCAACAUGAGCCCUGAUGACAGUGAUGAAGAGAGCUCCUCCUUCAACCUACAUUAGCCAUGCAGUGUGAGUGAAGAUCAGGAAGACCUCACCUGUCAUGAUGAAUAAACUCAGGUUACAUAUAAAUUACACUCAAAGAAGACAUAAUGCAAUCAUUUUAACAUAGAUGGAAAUAUAGUUAUACCAAAUGCUAGAGAGAGACAGAGAGAGAUUGAUUUAUUUUACGGAAUUGGCUCAUAUGAUUGAGAGCACUUGCAAGUCCAAAUUCUGCAGGGAAGCAGGCUGGAGACAUAGGGAAGAGUCGAUGUUGCAGCUUAAGUCUGAAGGCAGUCUGGAGGCAGAAUUCCUUCUUCCUCCGAUGGAGUUCAGUCAUUUUCUCUUAAGCUCAGUUUUUUUCUCUUAAGACUCGCCCACAUUUUGGAGGAUAAUCCAUACUCUCAAAGUCUCCCGAUUUAAAUAUUAACUGCAUCUAAUAAAAUAUCUUCACAGCAACAUCUCGA